AGUGAACGCUGGCGGCGUGCUUAACACAUGCAAGUCGAACGAGAACGGAAUAUAGCUUGCUAUAUUUGUCAGCUAAGUGGCGCACGGGUGAGUAAUGUAUAGAUAACCUGCCCUUAAGAAAGGAAUAACAGUUGGAAACGACUGCUAAUGCCCUAUAUGCCUUUAAUACAUAAGUAUGCAAGGGAUACGCUUUAGUGCUUAAGGAUGGGUCUGUAUGGUAUCAGCUUGUUGGUGAGGUAAUGGCUCACCAAGGCUAUGACGCCUAACUGGUUUGAGAGGAUGAUCAGUCACACUGGAACUGAGACACGGUCCAGACUCCUACGGGAGGCAGCAGUGGGGAAUAUUGCACAAUGGACGAAAGUCUGAUGCAGCAACGCCGCGUGGAGGAUGACACAUUUCGGUGCGUAAACUCCUUUUAUAUAGGAAGAUAAUGACGGUACUAUAUGAAUAAGCACCGGCUAACUCCGUGCCAGCCGCCGCGGUAA
rnacentral:rRNA from 1 species